GAGACAGAGACACAGGCAGACAGAGGCAGAAACCCUGUGAGGAGGUGGACGGACCUAGCCGCCGCACCGGGCUCCCUGUCGCCGGCCCGGGCUCCCUGUCGCCGGCCCGGGCUCCCUGUCGCCGGCCCUGGCCCCACGGCCACCCCAGAGCAACAGAGACCACGAUUCACAGAUUUUUACACAAAUCUCAAGACCAACAUGCCUUAGGACCGACAAAGAAGAGUAGUCUGCAGCCUCCAGCGUUGCCCACCUGCCCAGCCUGCAGCAUCAAUAGCAGGCAUAAAGGUGACCAGGAUGGUGGCCUUCGAAAGUGCAAGAACAAAGUGGGCAGACAACAGGCAGCUUCCUCCUUCUGAGGCACGAGUGCAUGAAUUGCCUUCCCCCAGCACGAAGCUGAAUUAAAAUAUUCCUAGCAGAUAGUUCGGAUUGAUAAUCACCUCUACUGUGUUACUCUGGACAUGUCCACACAGCUGACUGGGAAAUAGAAGGGGAUGCUAACAGCUGCUCCAGCAGACAGGUAUUUCAGGGUCAAAGGCCAGCAGAGCUGUGCAUAUUCAGGAUUUUUACUGCCAGUGAAGGAGAUGGGUACUUUCUCAAAACUAAUAAUAAAAAUAGCAACAACAGUGAGAAGAAGAAGGAGCUGACAACAGAAAUGAAAAGGAACCUGCAAGAAGUGAAUUCUGGGUAGCACAACACUUGCAGAGCUGAUUUUAAUGUCUGACAGGUUGAGUUCACUAAUCUUUGCUAUUCAUAUUGACGUGAAACUUCAUACUGUUUUAGAGAUUUGUAUCUAUUAAGACAUGCAGCAGUGUUCCUACAACAUGGGAACAAGUUUGCUAGCACCUGCCGUUCUUCUUCCUCCGUGAUAAAAAUUGAUAUGAACUGUACUAAAUGCCUAACAGAUAAUUACUCUCAACACUCAAUAACAAAAGCUACAUCUUUAGAGCCUCCUUUAUCUUUAAAAAAUAACAAAAAAGCCCAAGCCCAAAACUCACUAACAAGACAAAACCUUUUUCCUCCCAUUUUCCUCCCUCUCUUUCGUUUCUUUGAUUACUUGGAGAUUUGUAAGCAAACUAAGUUUAGUUUCGGGACCCUUGGGGCAGUAUCUCUUAGUUCCCUGUCAGGCUGAGUUGCAAAAUAAUCAAACCUGCUCUUGUGUUGGCUUGGUGGAAGUGUCAGGACAUGAGGAGUGCAAUGCUUUGCUCUUGCUGUGAAGCUUCGAUGACAAAAGUUUUAUCAGAAGCUGACUGUAUUUAGGAUUAUGAAUAUGCAAUGACUCUCAUUAGUAUUGAAGCACAGGAGCAUGGGCUGACAUCCCCCGCCACUUUUAGCUGCUGCAGAGUUGCCUAAUGAAUUGUCUUGCUCUUUCACUUGCACAGACUUUGCUGUUAUGGUUCCCCACUCCAAGGGGAGUUGCCCGGUUUGAGAAUACUAUUGACUGCAGAAAUUAAUUGCCAAGAACUGCUCUUGAUUUUGUUAAACAGUGUUUAAAUGGUGUUUAAAUUGCUGAAACAGAAAACCAUUUAACUCUACAGGAGACAAAGUCAUCACAGGUGAGAGGACCUGCGUGUCCAUAUGCAUAGCCAUGCACAAGCAUACAGGUGUGGUGCAGGUAUGCAUACGGUCUUGUAAUCAUACCUAUACAAAUAAACAUAUCUAUGUGUAGCAGUGACGGACAUCAGAAACCUGACAUCCUGCUGAUUUAUCUAUUAUUCUUCCAACUAGAACAAAUGGGAUAAUGGAAAGUUCUCCAAAUGAGUGGGACUCCAAUACAUUUCUAUUUAAUCAACCAGUUAAUACUCUUUUUUUUUCUUCUGGGACCCUGCCAAACACUUUUCAGCUCACACAUCUGCAAUCUUUAUGAAUAAGUUUCUGACAAGGAUGUUUCCAACAAAUGAUUAAGAUAUCUGGCUUGAUUUGUCAUAUUUGAGAUGCAUAAGCUUUCAAAAACAAGUAGAAAUGACCCUUUUUUUCCCCAAAUGGUUCAAUUAAGUACUUUUUUCCUGAUUCAUCUGAAAUUUCUUCUGGCAUAAAAGGAGCUUUUGUGGCUCUCUGCAGAGAGUGAAGGAUAGAGGGAAUUGAAAUGGAUAAUGUAUUCCAAGAAGCGUAAGUAGUAUUCUGAAAGGUGUGCAAAUAAUAAAGGAUAUGAGAUUCUUCCAAGAAGAUGUCAGGCCUGCAAGACUCUUUAUCCAUUUAAUCAGUAAUGGAAAUGAUCCCAGUGCGAGAAGGAAGAUCUGUUUAAUUUUUAUUGUGAUUUUGGCACUGUUGCUCUAACACGAGCUUGGCUUACCUCUUGACCCAACCCCAGGAGUGUCUGUUCUCAUCAGCUGCAGAAAAAAUAAAGAACAUCUACAUGUUGGGAGUAUCAAAUACAAGAGCAGUUUAAAAUAAAUGCAGUUCUGACAAAAGUGGCUCAAGUAUCAUACAUCAAACACUUGUUACCUCUCUUGGCCUUAGUGAUUGCAUGUGACUAAGAAAGAGUGAGUGAUAAAAUCUGAAGAAAGAUGAAACCAAUCCGGGGCUUUUUAAAGCUCAUCAAUCAUUCUGUGCAGCCAUGGCAUUAUUAGUUCCAGUAAGCCUUGUUCUCCCAUUUUAUGGACAUCAUAAACCCCCCACCUCUAGACCAAUGCUACCUUGGGAAAUCAUUUUCAUAGGCAGCAUCUUAGUGUGGGCCAAUCAGAUCUAAUCACAUAACAAGCUACUGAAUUAUUCAACGUUCUUCCUAAUUUUGCAUUCUUCCUGCACUUUGCUGUCACUGCAGGGUUUUAAAAGUAUGUGUUUUUACAAUAUUUAUUAAGAAUAUAACCAUACACAGGAAUUUUGUUUUCUCUAUGUCUUUCAAUAAUCGUUUGUUCCCUUAGAUUGUUGCAGUAUAUACAUUACUAUAUAGAGAAUACUUAAAAAAACAAAAAGAAAAAGAAACCCACAAUGUGGCACUUGGCUUUAAACUCUUUCAGCUUUUAAAAGAUCUAAUGUAAAGACAACAAUUGUGAAACAAUUGAGUUCAAACAUAAAACAUUCAGAUUUACUGAGCAAACUGUAACCAGCAUGUCUCUUAGCUGCUGCUAUGAAUACAGGGCUCACAUUGUAUAUGAAAAUAUUUCAGUUUUAAUUGCAAAUCUGUGCAGAGAUGAUUUGGGGUCUGUAAUUAGCACACAAAUUCCAGACUUUGUGACUGCUGUGAAAACACACAUUAUUUAUGGAACUAUUAUCUAAAUAUAAUUCAGUGUUUUUUGCUUUCAACAACUACUAUAAAAGUCUGAUUUAAUAAAAUGUGAAAA
ensembl:lncRNA uncharacterized LOC115619412